rnacentral:rRNA from 1 species
AUUUCUAGAGAUAGAAAGUUACUUCGGUACAUCGGUGACAGGUGGUGCAUGGUUGUCGUCAGCUCGUGUCGUGAGAUGUUGGGUUAAGUCCCGUAACGAGCGCAACCCUUGUCCUUAGUUACCAGCACGUUAUGGUGGGCACUCUAAGGAGACUGCCGGUGACAAACCGGAGGAAGGUGGGGAUGACGUCAAAUCAUCAUGCCCCUUAUGACCUGGGCUACACACGUGCUACAAUGGUUGGUACAACGAGUUGCGAGUCGGUGACGGCGAGCUAAUCUCUUAAAGCCAAUCUCAGUUCGGAUUGUAGGCUGCAACUCGCCUACAUGAAGUCGGAAUCGCUAGUAAUCGCGGAUCAGCACGCCGCGGUGAAUACGUUCCCGGGCCUU